rnacentral:rRNA from 1 species
UACAGAGGUGGCAAGCGUUGUUCGGAAUUACUGGGCGUAAAGGGCGCGUAGGCGGCCCGUCAAGUCCCGUGUGAAAGCCCCCGGCUCAACCGGGGAACUGCACGGGAAACUAGCAGGCUUGAGUUCGGGAGAGGGAAGCGGAAUUUCGGGUGUAGCGGUGAAAUGCGCAGAUAUCCGAAGGAACACCGGUGGCGAAGGCGGCUUCCUGGGACCGACACUGACGCUGGAGGCGCGAAAGCUAGGGGAGCAAACGGG